rnacentral:rRNA from 1 species
AGGCAAAUCCGCUUUGAUAAUGCUGGGAUGUGAUGGGGAGCGAAAUUUAGUAGCGAAGUAGCUGAUUUCACACUGUCAAGAAAAGUCUCUAUCGAGGUUAAAGGUACCCGUACCGCAAACCGACACAGGUGGGUGAGGAGAGUAUCCUAAGGCCAGCGAGAGAACUGUUGUUAAGGAACUCGGCAAAAUGACCCCGUAACUUAGGGAUAAGGGGUGCCACCAUCCGGUGGCCGCAGAGAAUAGGCCCAAGCGACUGUUUACCAAAAACAUAGGUUUCUGCUAAGUCGCAAGACGAUGUAUAGGAGCUGACGCCUGCCCGGUGCUGGAAGGUUAAGGGGAUCUGUUAGAGCAAUCGAAGCAGUGAACUUAAGCCCCAGUAAACGGCGGCCGUAACUAUAACGGUCCUAAGGUAGCGAAAUUCCUUGUCGGGUAAGUUCCGACCCGCACGAAAGGCGUAACGAUUUGGGCACUGUCUCAACAACAGACUCGGUGAAAUUGUAAUUCCGGUGAAGAUGCCGGAUACCUGCGACAGGACGGAAAGACCCCAUGGAGCUUUACUGUAGCUUGACAUUGGGUCUUGGUACUACAUGUACAGGAUAGGUGGGAGGCUUUGAAACCAGGACGCCAGUUUUGGCGGAGCCAUCCUUGGGAUACCACCCUUGUAGUACUGGGACUCUAACCAUAGGCCAUGAAUCUGGUCUUGGGACACUGUCAGGUGGGCAGUUUGACUGGGGCGGUCGCCUCCCAAAAGGUAACGGAGGCGCUCAAAGGUUCUCUCAGUACGGUCGGAAAUCGUACGUAGAGUGUAAAGGCAAAAGAGAGCUUGAUUGCAAGACAUACAGGUCGAGCAAGGAUGAAAAUCGGACUUAGUGAUCCGGUGGUUCUGCGUGGAAGGGCCAUCGCUCAACGGAUAAAAGCUACCCUGGGGAUAACAGGCUUAUCUCCCCCAAGAGUCCACAUCGACGGGGAGGUUUGGCACCUCGAUGUCGGCUCAUCACAUCCUGGGGCUGUAGUAGGUCCCAAGGGUUGGGCUGUUCGCCCAUUAAAGUGGUACGCGAGCUGGGUUCAGAACGUCGUGAGACAGUUCGGUCCCUAUCCGUCGCAGGCGUAGGAAAUUUGAGAAGACCUGUCCUUAGUACGAGAGGACCGGGAUGGACGUACCUCUGGUGUACCAGUUGUUCUGCCAAGGGCAUGGCUGGGUAGCUAUGUACGGAAUGGAUAAGCGCUGAAAGCAUCUAAGCGCGAAGCCAACUUCAAGAUAAGAUUUCCCACCGCAAGGGUAAGACCCCAGAAAGACUAUCUGGUUGAUAGGUCGAAGGUGUAAGUGCAGCAAUGUAUUUAGCUUAUCGAUACUAAUAGGUCGAGGACUUGACCAA